AAGGAAACAAAUAAGGGCGUAUGGUGGAUGCCUUGGCUUUGAAAGGCGAUGAAGGACGCAGCGUGGCGGCGAUAUGCGUCGGGGAGGUGCCAAGCAACCUUUGAUCCGGCGAUUUCCGAAUGAGGAAACUCUCUAGAAAGAAAUUUUUAGAAUCCUGCGCAAGCAGGAAGCAUACCCAGGGAAGUGAAACAUCUCAGUACCUGGAGGAAAAGAGACUAAUAAGUAUUUCGUUAGUAGCGGCGAGCGAACGCGAAGGAGCCCAAACCCGAGACACUAGACUCUGUGCAGCAGGAGCAAUUUUGCUGGAUAGGGUCUAGUACAUCUAGGGGGUUGUAAGGCGAUGAUAAUCUAGCGAGCGAGAGAAAUGAAUUUAUUCAUUUCCGAGCGAGCGACGAUUAUAUGACAGUUUAUCUGUCCUAUAUUCUGGCUCGACCAGAAACAAAGUUACAAAUUGUUGUGAUAGCCGAAGCCGCUGGGAAGCGGCGCCCGAGGAGGUGAAAGCCCUGUAGGCGAAAUCAAAACAACUUUGUUCAUUGUCCUUGAGUAACUCAAGACACGAAUGGCUUGAGCGAAUCUGCCGGAACUAACCGGUAAGGCUACAUACUUUCAAAGACCGAUAGUGAACAAGUACCGUGAGGGAAAGGUGAAAAGAACCCCGGAAGGGGAGUGAAAUAGAUCUGAAACCAUAUGUCUACAAAGAGUUGAAGAGGUCCUUAAAAACCUCGACAGCGUGCCUAUUGAAGAAUGAGCCUGCGAGUUUAUGUGUACUGCAUAUGGCUAAGUGGUAAAACCAUGGAGCCGAAGGGAAACCGAGUGUGAAUAGCGCGACUCGUAGUACGCAUAAGACCCGAAGCAAGGUGAGCUUGCCAUGAGCAGGGUGAAGUUUUGCGAAAGCAAAAUGGAGGCCCGAACCGUUGAGCCGUUCAAAACUCUCGGAUGACUUGUGGUAAGGAGUGAAAAGCUAAUCGAACCUUGUAAUAGCUGGUUCUCUCUGAAACAGCUUUUGGGCUGGCGUCGCAUCAAUUGACAGACGGGGGUAGAGCACUGGAAGGGUUCAACAGGGAGCAAUCUCGUGAAUCCUAUCAAACUCCGAAUACCGUUUGUGCUAUGCGGCAGUUAGUACGUGGGGGCUAAGCUCCACCGUACAAAAGGAGAAGAGUCCUAGAUCUCCAGUUAAGGUCCCAAAAUCUACGUUAAGUGCAUCACAAGGAGGUGAGGUUUCGUUGACAAUGAGGAUGUUGGCUUAGAAGCAGCCACCAUUGAAAGAAAGCGUAACAGCUCACUCAUCGAG
rnacentral:rRNA from 1 species